UACGACCAAUUACUGACUCCA
rnacentral:piRNA from 1 species